UACAGAGGUGCGAGCGUUGUCCGGAAUCACUGGGCGUAAAGGCGCGUAGGCGGCCCGGUAAGGUUGCGGUGAAAGCCCGGGGCUCAACCCCGGGUCCGGCCGUGGCAACUGCUGGGCUGGAGCACAGUAGAGGCGGGUGGAAUUCCGGGUGUAGCGGUGGAAUGCGUAGAGAUCCGGAAGAACACCGGUGGCGAAGGCGGCCCGACUGGGACGGUACUGACGCUGAGGCGCGAAAGCAUGGGGAGCGAACAGG
rnacentral:rRNA from 1 species